rnacentral:rRNA from 1 species
GACGAACGCUGGCGGCGUGCUUAACACAUGCAAGUGGAGCGACGAACCAGGGCUUGCCCUGGGGCAGAGCCGCGAACGGGUGAGUAACACGUGGGUAACCUGCCCCGAUCACUGGGACAACCCGAGGAAACUCGGGCUAAUACCGGAUGUGCCCGCCUCACAUCAGUGAGGUGUGUAAAGGAAGCUUCGGCCUCCGGAUCGGGAUGGGCCCGCGGCCCACUAGCUUGUUGGUGAGGUAACGGCUCACCAAGGCUUCGAUGGGUAGCUGGUCUGAGAGGACGAUCAGCCACACUGGGACUGAGACACGGCCCAGACUCCUACGGGAGGCAGCAGUGGGGAAUCUUGCGCAAUGCGCGAAAGCGUGACGCAGCAACGCCGCGUGGGGGAAGACGGC